rnacentral:rRNA from 1 species
ACUCGAGUGGCGAACGGGUGAGUAACACGUGGGUGAUCUGCCCUGCACUUCGGGAUAAGCCUGGGAAACUGGGUCUAAUACCGGAUAGGAGCCAUUUUUAGUGUGAUGGUUGGAAAGUUUUUCGGUGUAGGAUGAGCUCGCGGCCUAUCAGCUUGUUGGUGGGGUAAUGGCCUACCAAGGCGGCGACGGGUAGCCGGCCUGAGAGGGUGGACGGCCACAUUGGGACUGAGAUACGGCCCAA